GGGGAAAAUUGGGUAAUGGGGCGCAGGCCUGAACCAGCCAAGUCGCGUGAGGGAAGACGGUCCUACGGAUUGUAAACCUCUUUUGUCGGGGAGUAACGUGCGGGACGCGUCCCGUAUUGAGAGUACCCGAAGAAAAAGCAUCGGCUAACUCCGUGCCAGCAGCCGCGGUAAUACGGAGGAUGCGAGCGUUAUCCGGAUUUAUUGGGUUUAAAGGGUGCGCAGGCGGCGCGCCAAGUCAGCGGUCAAAGUUCCGGGCUCAACCCGGUGUCGCCGUUGAAACUGGCGUGCUCGAGUGCGUGCGAGGAAGGCGGAAUGCGUUGUGUAGCGGUGAAAUGCAUAGAUAUGACGCAGAACUCCGAUUGCGAAGGCAGCUUUCCAGCGCGCUACUGACGCUGAGGCACGAAAGCGUGGGGAUCGAACAGGAUUAGAUACCCUGGUAGUCCACGCAGUAAACGAUGACUACUAGCUUUCCGGGAUGAUUGAGUCCUGGGAGGCACAGCGAAAGCGUUAAGUAGUCCACCUGGGGAGUACGCCGGCAACGGUGAAACUCAAAGGAAUUGACGGGGGCCCGCACAAGCGGAGGAACAUGUGGUUUAAUUCGAUGAUACGCGAGGAACCUUACCCGGGCUCAAACGACAGCGGACAGCGCCUGAAAGGGCGUCUCCGGCAACGGCCGCUGUCGAGGUGCUGCAUGGUUGUCGUCAGCUCGUGCCGUGAGGUGUCGGCUUAAGUGCCAUAACGAGCGCAACCCCCAUCUCCAGUUGCCACCGGGUCGUGCCGGGCACUCUGGAGGGACUGCCAGCGCAAGCUGCGAGGAAGGCGGGGAUGACGUCAAAUCAGCACGGCCCUUACGUCCGGGGCGACACACGUGUUACAAUGGCGGAGAACAGAGGGGAGCCACGUGGCGACACGGAGCCGAUCCCUAAAAUCCGUCUCAGUUCGGAUUGUGGGCUGAAACCCGCCCACAUGAAGUUGGAAUUGCUAGUAAUCGCGGAUCAGCAUGCCGCGGUGAAUACGUUCCCGGGCCUUGUACUCACCGCCCGUA
rnacentral:rRNA from 1 species